rnacentral:rRNA from 1 species
AAUCUUCCGCAAUGGACGCAAGUCUGACGGAGCAACGCCGCGUGAGUGAUGAAGGUUUUCGGAUCGUAAAACUCUGUUGUUAGGGAAGAACAAGUAUCGGAGUCACUGCCGGUACCUUGACGGUACCUGAUGAGAAAUCCACGGCCAACUACGUCCCAUCAGCCGCGGUAAUACGCAGGUGGCACGCCUUGUCCGGAUUUAUUGGGCGUAAAGCGGGAGGAGGCGGUCUUUUAAAUCUGAUGUGAAAACUUACAGCGUAACUGUAAGCGGUCAUUGGAAACUGGGAGACUUGAGUGCAGAAGAGGAGGGUGGAAUUCCAUGUGUAGCGGUGAAAUGCGUAGAGAUAUGGAGGAACACCAGUGGCGAAGGCGACUCUCUGGUCUGUAACUGACGCUGAGGCGCGAAAACGUGGGGAUCAAACA